ACUCAAUCACUCAAGUGUUUAAGGUGACACUCCAACUCUCAAUUAUUCACAAGUCUCAUGAAACAAAAUUGCCAUUCAUCUCAAACAAUCAACAUCUUUACAUGAAAAUGCCAUCAAAAGGACUUUUCCAAGGCUUGUAAUGAGGUUGGGCUAACAAGAAAUAAUUGGUUUUUCUAGAAUGCAAAAUCCUUGAGUCAAGAGAGCUAACAAAAUAUUCAACAUUUAAGCACCACUCUCUCACCAAUAUCUCUCAUUCCCAACUUCUUCCCUUUUCUUUUCUUUUUCAUUGAGGUCAUCUUCAUGCUUUUCUUCUUUUCUUUUCUUUUUCUCAUGAAUUUUUCUCUUUUCACAACAAUCGAGCUCAAUGCCUUUUACUUGCUUUUUCAAUUUCCCCCCGCACAACCCCAAACUUGAACCUUUUCAUCGCAUACAAUUAAGCUCAUCCCAACUCAAGGUAAAGAUUUACAAGACAAGGGUUCACAUACUAUUUAAGGCUAAGGUUCAAAAAGGGUAAAAUAUUUUCAAGCACUUUGGCUGAAAAUUUGGCUAAAGAAGAGUUUUCAAAAAUGGCCUUGAUCAUAUGACAUUCACAUGCAAUUCAAUCGAUUAUCAAGAUUAUGGCAAUAUCAUCCAUGUUUUCCUGUGAACAAUGCAUGCAACAAUAAAAACAAUGGAGCUCAAAAUCUCACACAUGCUUCCUCACACACAAUUCAUUCAUACACCAAGUCUAGCAUCAUGACCACAAUCAUAAAUUCAUCACCCAUCUAUUUCCUGGAUAUCAUCAUGCAUUACAACUCAAUUCUCAUCCACAUCAAAUAAUCAUCAAAUAGAUCCAUCAUGCAAAUUAGUUAGUCAAACAUUUUCAGAAUAAGUAAUAAAGCCAAGAAUACACUCCAAAAUUAAAAUUCAACCUAUUCUAGGAAUUUAAAAUGCAAAAGUGUAAGAAGAAAUCUAGGUUGCCUCCUAGUAGCGCUUGUUUAACGUCACGAGCCUGACCCAAACCUGGUUGGCACUCGUCAGUAAGUGCACUUCCUUCCACCACCCAUCAGUAGGUGUACCGUUCGAAUAUCCUUCAGUGGAUACCAAAAAUUUAGCAUCCCUCAGUAGAUGCUACCCAAAAAUUGUUCAGAAAAUUCAAAAAGUACAUGUUCCACCCAAAAUAAAACAAAAGACCGAAAAAGAAAAUUGUUCAUAAAAAUACAAAAUUUGAUUUCCAACAAAUUCAGCUCUUCUUCACGUUGGGAUCUUCAUCAUCCCACCGGCUCACUUUUCUUCGGUCCACCUUCUUGAUCACUUUUGAGUAUGGUCUUUGAAUCUCCACCAUUCCUUUUUCCUUCAACUCCUUUAUUAUCCAUGGCUUCUUCUUAAAUCUCACUUUGCUCCCGGGUAGAAGUGGAUCUUCUUUUGCUUUUGGGUGAAUGN
rnacentral:lncRNA from 1 species